AGGUGGCAAGCGUUGUCCGGAAUUACUGGGUGUAAAGGGAGCGUAGGCGGGAGAGCAAGUUGAAUGUGAAAACUAUGGGCUCAACUCAUAGUUGCGUUCAAAACUGCUUUUCUUGAGUGGAGUAGAGGUAAGCGGAAUUCCUAGUGUAGCGGUGAAAUGCGUAAAUAUUAGGAGGAACACCAGUGGCGAAGGCGGCUUACUGGGCUUUAACUGACGCUGAGGCUCGAAAGCGUGGGUAGCAA
rnacentral:rRNA from 1 species